CUGGGAAGGUGACCCGGGAAGCUCACCAGCCCUGGGCUUGGAACUAUGGCAAAGGGCCUCCUCUCCACCACCACCAUCCCCAGGAGCACUGAAAACAAGCCUUGCAAAAUCCUACCGACUACUAAGAUCCCAGUCUAUGUUCCCACCUGGCUUUGUAGCUGCAACUCACUUGUCUCACACCCAGGCUCACUCCCAUCUCCUCUGCUACACAAGAGGCUCAAACAGAAUAACUGCAAGUUCAAAGCCAGCCUGGACCAUAUUGCAAGGCUGCCUCCAAAAUAGAAAGAAAGAAAGAAAAGAAAAGAAUCUACAGAUGACAGGGACAUCGUGCACCUUCCCCUGGGUUAUUUCCACUUACUGUAUAUCUCCAGC